rnacentral:rRNA from 1 species
CCUACGGGAGGCAGCAGUGGGGAAUAUUGGGCAAUGGGCGCAAGCCUUACCCAGCAACGCCGCGUGAAUGAAGAAGGCUUUCGGGUUGUAAACUUCUUUUAAGAGGGAAGAGCAGAAGACGGUACCUCUUGAAUAAGCCACGGCUAACUACGUCCCAGCCGCCGAGGUAAUACGUAGGUGGCAAGCGUUGUCUGGAUUUACUGGGGGUAAAGGGCGUGUAGCCGGGCUGACAAGUCAGAUGUGAAAUCCCGUGGCUCAACCACGGAACUGCAUUUGAAACUGUCGGACUUGAGUAUCGGAGAGGCAGGCGGAAUUCCUAGUGUAGCGGUGAAAUGCGUAGAUAUUAGGAGGAACACCAGUGGCGAAGGCGGCCUGCUGGACGACAACUGACGGUGAGGCGCGAAAGCGUGGGGAGCAAACAGGAUUAGAUACCCCAGUAGUC